GGAAUUUCUAUCCGUUACCGAAAGGACACAGAGAUCAGAGUCACUGUCAGUGUCCAAAGUACCGUCAUGUGCCGAAGUGCUGGCUUCAGGCUGUGCAGUUAAAGCAGUAAAUGCUGGUCUCAUUGGCUGUUGGUUUAUCAGCCUGGGCCAUCACAACUUUUGGACCCCAAGGUGUUGGCUCCUCUUGUUUUCUCUGUCCAGAGACAACCCGAGCAGUUGGCUGGUUCACCUUCUACAAUGAGAAACGGCCACUCAUCACACAGAGUCUUGUCAUCCCCCUCCGGUUGAGCAAACUGUAAUGACAUAGCACAAAGACGCUGCCCUCCAGAGUGGCUGGCACAGCAGCUUCUGGAACAGGUCGAGGAGGAGGUACGCCCUCCAGAGUGGCUGGCACAGCAGCUUCUGGCACAGGUCGAGGGGGAGGUACCAGCUUCGAAGGUUUAGCAAUCCUUGCUGGAGUUUGAAGUGCCUGGAAAAUAAUUGUAAAUCAUUGGCAAAACAAUACCUACACAGAGAAUGUUGGACUAUCUCUUGUAGUAAAGGCGAAAUCAAAAAAUAGUUGUUCCUGUGUUUCAACCAAAAAAAAGUACAUAUUUCAAUGAGAAAUUACCAACCUCAAGGCGGGCCUUCUUUCCUUUGGAGACCACAGCCGUGGUUCCAUGUG
rnacentral:lncRNA from 1 species